AUCCAAUUAUUUUUUUCAUGCCUUGCUUGAAGGCUUCAAGAAAUUGCAAUUAAUAAGAUAGAUAUGAUUGCACAUAAAAUCAUUUGAAACUACAUGAUCAGGUCAAGUUGAAGAGUGUGAUACGAGAUGACGUAUGGUUGGAAACUAACCACCUCUAAACCUUUUCUUCGCAUAAAUUAGCAGUCUUCACUGCUUCCUGGGAAACGUAUUCAAUGGAACGCAUGAAUUUCUUCGAAACCUUGUUCUCUCACCCCAGCAGUAAAUCUUGGAACAUAAGCAGGUAGAACAUUUUGAAGAUCUCUGUGACUUCAAGGUAUCACAGACCCCCAUCUGGAAAGGGAGAAAGAUCAACCAUUUUGUGAACCUGAAAUUUGGACUACAU
rnacentral:lncRNA from 1 species